UGUGUACAUUACUUUCAAACUGUAUAUGUGUACACCUAAUUUUGUAUUAUACAUCAAAGUGAUUGUGUACACAUAUUUGCUUCUUGUAGGUUUUCUACCUAAAUAAUUAAGCAUAUGCGACUUCGUGAACUCACGAUAAUGUUAACACAAUGUACAUGUGAUUUAUUCAUUCUUCCCACGUACACGCAUGGUCGGGGCAUCUUUGAAAUUUGACUGAAACCAAAGUCAUUGAAAUGCAUC
rnacentral:lncRNA from 1 species